rnacentral:misc_RNA from 1 species
GUUGGGCUUUAAUUAGAGGGCAUCCACGACAGUUCUGUGUGCAGGGUAUGUUGUUAUAGAAGAGAGGCUGUGCUUGGAUGGGCUCUUGUCGCCACUUAGUUGCCGACAAUGAUUUGGCUUCGUCUGGAUUCAGGAUCCUUGGUGGCGGCUAAUCUUGUUCAGUGUUCCCAUCUUAGUGUCUAUGAUUUCUAGGCUUUGGUUUGGGUUUGUCUGGAGG